UACGGAGGGGGUUAGCGUUGUUCGGAAUCACUGGGCGUAAAGCGCGCGUAGGCGGACCAUCAAGUUGGGGGUGAAAUCCCGGGGCUCAACCUCGGAACUGCCUCCAAAACUGCUGGUCUUGAGUUCGAGAGAGGUGAGUGGAAUUCCGAGUGUAGAGGUGAAAUUCGUAGAUAUUCGGAGGAACACCAGUGGCGAAGGCGGCUCACUGGCUCGAUACUGACGCUGAGGUGCGAAAGCGUGGGGAGCAAACAGG
rnacentral:rRNA from 1 species